AAGGCCUUUGAGCAGGCGCAGAGAUGGCUGUACCGCGUACGUCCGCCUCCGCGCAACACCUUUCUGGGGCUUCCCAUUGGAGAGCAAACCUGUCAAGUGCUUUCUGUUCUUUCGGAGGCGGGGCCUCCUACCCUGCCUGCACUCCGAUUGGCCUCGUGGGCCGUCUACCUCCGGCCGGACAUACCGACAUCAGCUUUUUGUACGACUGUUGGACCUGGAAGACGAUCCUUUGGUGGCGAGGGCGGGGAGGAAAAAAGCGUCCACUGUGGAUUGGACGGUGUCAAAAAGAGGGGCGGUCCCUACUGAAGGGGCGGUUGGGCGACCAAGGGAGAGUCUUUUCAGCGCUGAGGACUGGCGCUGAGGAGGCGGCGGUGGCUCCUGGGGCGUUUGAGCGGGCUCACCCGAGCCCGCGGGCCAACGCGGAUCCAGGCCCGACCGGCGGGACCGCCCCGGACUCCCCGCGGGCCUUCCUAGCCGCCAUGGAGGACGGCGUCUAUGAACCCCCAGACUUGACUCCGGAGGAACGGAUGGAGCUGGAGAACAUCCGGCGGCGGAAGCAGGAGCUGCUGGUGGAGAUUCAGCGCCUGCGGGAGGAGCUCAGUGAAGCCAUGAGCGAGGUGGAGGGGCUGGAGGCCAAUGAGGGCAGUAAGACCUUGCAGCGGAACCGGAAGAUGGCAAUGGGCAGGAAGAAGUUCAACAUGGACCCCAAGAAGGGGAUCCAGUUCUUGGUGGAGAACGAACUGCUGCAGAACACACCCGAGGAGAUUGCCCGCUUCCUGUACAAGGGCGAGGGGCUGAACAAGACAGCCAUCGGGGACUACCUGGGGGAGAGGGAAGAGCUGAACUUGGCAGUGCUCCAUGCUUUUGUGGAUCUGCAUGAGUUCACCGACCUCAAUCUGGUGCAGGCCCUCAGGCAAUUUCUAUGGAGCUUUCGCCUCCCUGGAGAGGCCCAGAAAAUUGACCGGAUGAUGGAGGCCUUCGCCCAGCGAUACUGCCUGUGCAACCCUGGGGUUUUCCAGUCCACAGACACGUGCUACGUGCUGUCCUUCGCCGUCAUCAUGCUCAACACUAGUCUCCACAAUCCCAAUGUCCGGGACAAGCCAGGCCUGGAGCGCUUUGUGGCCAUGAACCGGGGCAUCAACGAGGGCGGGGACCUGCCUGAGGAGCUGCUCAGGAACCUCUACGACAGCAUCCGAAAUGAGCCCUUCAAGAUUCCUGAGGAUGACGGGAACGACCUGACCCACACCUUCUUCAACCCGGACCGGGAGGGCUGGCUCCUGAAGCUGGGAGAGGCCCUGUCCCCCGUUGAGCCCAGGCCCCUCCCGCCCCUUCCCUUCCAGGGGGCCGGGUGAAGACGUGGAAGCGGCGCUGGUUUAUCCUCACAGACAACUGCCUCUACUACUUCGAGUACACCACGGACAAGGAGCCCCGAGGAAUCAUCCCUCUGGAGAAUCUGAGCAUCCGAGAGGUGGACGACCCCCGGAAACCGAACUGCUUUGAACUUUACAUCCCCAACAAUAAGGGGCAGCUCAUCAAAGCCUGCAAAACCGAGGCGGACGGCCGAGUGGUGGAGGGAAACCACAUGGUGUACCGGAUCUCGGCCCCGACGCAGGAGGAGAAGGAUGAGUGGAUCAAGUCUAUCCAGGCGGCUGUGAGUGUGGACCCCUUCUAUGAGAUGCUGGCAGCGAGAAAGAAGCGGAUUUCAGUCAAGAAGAAGCAGGAGCAGCCCUGACCCCCUGCCCCCAACUCCAUUAUUUAUUACGGAGCUGCCCCGCCUCGGUGGCCGGACCCCUGGGUCUUGGGGCUGUGGAUCCUGGUUCCCUGUUUGGAAAAUUCACCACCUCUAGCUCCUCUCUGUUCUUUGUAAUUAACACGCUGUUGGUAAUCUUAUUAAUUAUUUAACCACUUGGCCUGCUGACCCCCUCAUUUCUUGGGAUUGACGGAGCCGAGGUGCUCGGUGGAGCCAGCCUGUUUCCCUGGACAGGGGCCUGGACCCGCCUGUGUCUGUGGGUGCUGCCUGGGUAUGGCUGCUGGGGCCUGUCCCGCCGGGUCUGUUCUGGUUUCACCCCGAGCCCAGCAGGAGUGGAGGAAAGGGAGAAGGUUAAUAUGGUGGAAGUCUGGAGUUGGAAUUGGCCAGGGACGGAGUUUAGAAUGCAGGGGUUUAGGGUUAGGGUCUAGCAUUCAUUCUAGAAGUUGCCUGACAGCCAUCAGCCAGUUAUGCUACAGCCAUCAGCUGGUUCCCAUCUUUGCUUUCAUGGGGCUUGAGGUCUUUGAGGGGCAGGAGAUAAAACUGAUGAGGUGAGCUGGGCCAGGGCUUUGAGGACAACCUGGAGCUGGAAGAGCUAUAAAUGCGACCACCUCAGGGAGGGUCAGGGAAGGAUGAGUGGGGAGGUGGCCAUGUUCUGCAAUGGCCUUGCUGAUGGGAUGUCCUGAAGGGCUGGGCACCCUUAGAUGGGGCCAAGAGGGCUGCACUAUGGGUUAGUGCCAGAGCCAGGCUUGUCUGUCCCCAAAGGAUCAGCCUCCUUUGGAGGACAUUUUGUGUCAAGGAUAGGGCUGAGGACCAGCGUUCUUAAACGUCUUACCUGAGAUUCUCGACCGCCUAAGAAAUGUGAGGAUCACCUCUAUGAAGGUCAAGUCUUGGCAUGCGGGGUACCCCUGAAUCCUGGGCUAAGGCCUGUGCCCUUUUGCCCUCCAGUUGGGGUAUGCGUGGUGUCCCCAAAGAACAAGGGCUGGUGGAUCCCGAGAAGGGUGCGAUGGCAGAUUGGGAGGUCCCAUGUCACUCUCCCAUUCCCGCCUUUGAAGCCGAGGAGCUCUUUAGUUAAAAAACAGAACCCUGCAACACCCGGCAGGGCCCGGGACAGGGAGGUGGGUGGAGAGGCAUCUGUGGCCCCGAGGCGUGCGGCGAGGUGUAGUCCCUCCCGCCCGCUGUGUUCGCUGUUGAGCUCUCCGAUGGGGUCUGGCGCUUCGGAAUUUUGUGCCUUUAUCCCUGUCCCGCCCUUGGCCACGGGCAUCCGCCGGCCUGAAGGGUCCCGCAGUGCAUAUACCCUGCGCCCCUCGGCGGGAAGAUGGACUACAGUUCCCGGCAGGCUGUGCGGCGCCCCCGCCACGGUAGACCCAGACCAGAGGUUUUCUGGGCGUCACAGUUUCCCGAGACUCUGUGGCGGUGUUUGCCUUCUUUUCCUUGGUUCGAUCCCGUACUUUUGUGGAGGGUAGAGAGGAGGCUUUGACUGCCGUGGCCCCAGGGACUGUUGGGAAAUGGAGUUCCAAAUGAGAAAAUAGAAUUCCCCACUUCUCUUUCCCACAGGUGCCAGGGAAGUGGAGUCAUCGACCCAAGAAGGUCAUGGGAGAUGAGGUCCCGGGGUAAACAGCGGGUCCUGCCGCUAGGUCACCCUUUCCUGCCGCCUCCCCGGAUGAACUGCGUGCAGGGCAGCCGGCUCCGUUGCAGGCAGAGGCAGGAAAAGACGCGGAGCCCGCUCGUGGCGAAGAGGGGAGUGCGGUGGAAGGGGAGGGCAGAGGCAGGCGGCCAGUCGCGUGGGGCCUGGGCUGCCCCGGGAGGGCCUCUGGAUGGAUUCUUAGCAGAUGGAAGCCGUGCAGGAGGCAGGGGCCUGACGUGUUUGGAUUGAGGUUGCGGGAGGGGCCCCUGGCUGCUGCAGGAAGAAUAACUGGAGGCGAGCAGGGAGGUGAGAGGGCACUGUGCGGUGCAGGAUGGCGUGGCUGUGGAGGCAGAUAACGAUGGGCCACGCUAGGAGUCUUGAAAGAGGAGCCAAACGGACUUGCUGAGAGCUGUGCAGCUGGUGAAUGACAGUGCUAUGGCUGAGGUGGUCGAAAGGGAGUAUUUUAGGGGAAAUCAGUCAUUCCGUUUUGACCAAAUUAAGCUGGAGAUGUCUGUGGAACAUUCCAGCCAGGCUGCAUCACUUCACACUGAUCUUCAGCAUUGCCCACAGUCCAUCUUCCCCCAGGGCCUGAGGAUUCUGACUUCUGGCUCCCUCCUCACCCAGGACCCCUAAGCUCCCAGCACGCUUCUUUUUUUUUGUUUUGUUUUGGGUUUUUUUUUUUUUUCUGGUCUUUGUUUCGUUUGUUUGUUUGAGAGGGAGUCUCGCUCUGUCCCCUAGACUGGAGUGCAAUGGCUCUAUCUCGGCUCACUGCAACCUCCGCCUCCCAGGUGCGAGCAAUUCUCUUGCCUCAGCCUCCCGAGUAGCUGGGAUUACAGAUGUGUACCACCGUACCCAGCUAAUUUUUGUAUUUUUAGUAGAGACAGGGUUUUAGCAUGUUGGCCAAGCUGGUCUCGAACUCCCGACCUCAGGUGAUCCACCUGCCUCAGCCUCCCAAAGUGCUAGGAUUACAGGCGUGAGUCACUGUGCCCAGCCUCAGCCCACUUCUUUCAGUUGGCUAUGGUUUGGAUAUCAUUUGUCUUCACUAAAAUUCAUGUUGAGAUUCAAGCCCCAGUGUGGCGGGUGUUGGGAUGUGGGGCCUGAUAGGAGCUAUGUGGUCAUGGAGGUGGAUUCCUCAUAGAUUAAUGCCUGCCUUCAAGGGUGAGUGAGUUCUCACCCUUGGGAAUUUGGGAAUUUGGUUUUCUCUCCCUUGCUUCCUUCAGCACCACAUGAUCUCUGUGUACACAGCGACAUCCUUCUGCCCUCCCCCAAGAGCAGAAGCAGCCUCAGGGGUGAGGGAGGUCCUCAGCGAGUGCACCUGCCCAGUCCUGAACCUUCCAGCCAUCAGAAUCUGAGCCAAAUCAACCUCUUCCUUCACAAAGACCCAGCCUCAGUUCUUCUGUCAGAGCAACAGAAAAUGGACUCAGCACGGGUCAAAUUGUGUCUCCCCACCCCCACAAAACAACUUAAUAUUAAAAUCCUAACCCCCAG